rnacentral:misc_RNA from 1 species
AGGAGACGUUGCCCUUCGGGGUAUACCUCCCACCCUUUGUUAUUAUACCUUUGUUGCUUUGGCGGGCCCGUCCUCGGACCACCGGCUUCUGCUGGUCAGUGCCCGCCAGAGGACCUAAAACUCUGUUUGUUAAUAUUGUCUGAGUACUAUAUAAUAGUUA